GAGUUUGAUCCUGGCUCAGAACGAACGCUGGCGGCGUGCUUAACACAUGCAAGUCGAACGCUUCUUUUUCCACCGGAGCUUGCUCCACCGGAAAAAGAGGAGUGGCGAACGGGUGAGUAACACGUGGGUAACCUGCCCAUCAGAAGGGGAUAACACUUGGAAACAGGUGCUAAUACCGUAUAACAAUCGAAACCGCAUGGUUUUGAUUUGAAAGGCGCUUUCGGGUGUCGCUGAUGGAUGGACCCGCGGUGCAUUAGCUAGUUGGUGAGGUAACGGCUCACCAAGGCGACGAUGCAUAGCCGACCUGAGAGGGUGAUCGGCCACAUUGGGACUGAGACACGGCCCAAACUCCUACGGGAGGCAGCAGUAGGGAAUCUUCGGCAAUGGACGAAAGUCUGACCGAGCAACGCCGCGUGAGUGAAGAAGGUUUUCGGAUCGUAAAACUCUGUUGUUAGAGAAGAACAAGGAUGAGAGUAACUGUUCAUCCCUUGACGGUAUCUAACCAGAAAGCCACGGCUAACUACGUGCCAGCAGCCGCGGUAAUACGUAGGUGGCAAGCGUUGUCCGGAUUUAUUGGGCGUAAAGCGAGCGCAGGCGGUUUCUUAAGUCUGAUGUGAAAGCCCCCGGCUCAACCGGGGAGGGUCAUUGGAAACUGGGAGACUUGAGUGCAGAAGAGGAGAGUGGAAUUCCAUGUGUAGCGGUGAAAUGCGUAGAUAUAUGGAGGAACACCAGUGGCGAAGGCGGCUCUCUGGUCUGUAACUGACGCUGAGGCUCGAAAGCGUGGGGAGCAAACAGGAUUAGAUACCCUGGUAGUCCACGCCGUAAACGAUGAGUGCUAAGUGUUGGAGGGUUUCCGCCCUUCAGUGCUGCAGCUAACGCAUUAAGCACUCCGCCUGGGGAGUACGACCGCAAGGUUGAAACUCAAAGGAAUUGACGGGGGCCCGCACAAGCGGUGGAGCAUGUGGUUUAAUUCGAAGCAACGCGAAGAACCUUACCAGGUCUUGACAUCCUUUGACCACUCUAGAGAUAGAGCUUCCCCUUCGGGGGCAAAGUGACAGGUGGUGCAUGGUUGUCGUCAGCUCGUGUCGUGAGAUGUUGGGUUAAGUCCCGCAACGAGCGCAACCCUUAUUGUUAGUUGCCAUCAUUUAGUUGGGCACUCUAGCAAGACUGCCGGUGACAAACCGGAGGAAGGUGGGGAUGACGUCAAAUCAUCAUGCCCCUUAUGACCUGGGCUACACACGUGCUACAAUGGGAAGUACAACGAGUCGCAAAGUCGCGAGGCUAAGCUAAUCUCUUAAAGCUUCUCUCAGUUCGGAUUGUAGGCUGCAACUCGCCUACAUGAAGCCGGAAUCGCUAGUAAUCGCGGAUCAGCACGCCGCGGUGAAUACGUUCCCGGGCCUUGUACACACCGCCCGUCACACCACGAGAGUUUGUAACACCCGAAGUCGGUGAGGUAACCUUUGGAGCCAGCCG
rnacentral:rRNA from 1 species